GGGGUGCUCUCCCCUAAGCUAGAUUUUGACAUAAUUUCUUCUGAUGUAGCUAGCAGGUGGUGGAGUUGUAUUUGAAUGUCGGCAGCACCCUGACAGCGAUUAGAAUGUCCUCCGUCUGCUAGUCUUCUUGAUCCUUGAAUUCUGUGGAGCUCAAAUAGACAACAAAGCUUUGUGGAACUGAUUAGGUGUCAGCAUAAAGUCUCUUAGCCUUUAUCAUACUGAUUAGGUGUUAGCAGGAUCAUGCACUUAUUAUUUCUAUAUUUUUAUUGUAAGAUGAAAAUAUAUUUAUUUUAUGCCACCACAGUCAAUAUACUUAUGGG
rnacentral:lncRNA from 1 species